rnacentral:rRNA from 1 species
AUGAAUGGCCGCGGUACUUUGACCGUGCUAAGGUAGCGCAAUCAAUUGGUUUUUAAUUGGAGCCAGGUAUGAAUGGAGUUACGGGGUUUAGCUGUCUCUUAUUUAUUUUAUCGAAAUUACUGUGUAGGUGAAAAAGCCUAUAAGAAGAAAAAGGACGAGAAGACCCUUAGAGUUUUUCUUAUUUUAAGAUCUAUGUUUCUUAUACUAGUUUGGUUGGGGCAACGUAGGAGCAAAUUGAAUCUCCUGAAAGUAAUUUAUCGAUUAUUUUAGAAAUAAAUAAACUACCUUAGGGAUAACAGCAUAAUUUUAUAUUUAAGUUUGUGACCUCGAUGUUGGACUGGGAAACUGAAAGGUUAGCCGCCUUUUAGGUGAGUUCUGUUCGAAC